rnacentral:rRNA from 1 species
AACGAACGCUGGCGGCAUGCCUAACACAUGCAAGUCGAACGAGACCUUCGGGUCUAGUGGCGCACGGGUGCGUAACGCGUGGGAAUCUGCCCUUGGGUUCGGAAUAACAGUUAGAAAUGACUGCUAAUACCGGAUGAUGUCUUCGGACCAAAGAUUUAUCGCCCAAGGAUGAGCCCGCGUAGGAUUAGGUAGUUGGUGGG